GUGAGGAAUAUUGGUCAAUGGGCGAAAGCCUGAACCAGCCAAGUCGCGUGGAGGAAGACGGCCCUACGGGUUGUAAACUUCUUUUACCUGGGAAUAACGGGCGCUACGUGUAGCGCUGUGCAUGUACCAGGCGAAUAAGCAUCGGCUAAUUCCGUGCCAGCAGCCGCGGUAAUACGGAAGAUGCGAGCGUUAUCCGGAUUUAUUGGGUUUAAAGGGUGCGUAGGCGGAAGGAUAAGUCAGCGGUGAAAUGCUUCAGCUCAACUGGAGAAUUGCCGAUGAAACUGUUUUUCUAGAGUAUAAAAGAGGUAUGCGGAAUGCGUGGUGUAGCGGUGAAAUGCAUAGAUAUCACGCAGAACCCCGAUUGCGAAGGCAGCAUACUGGGCUAUAACUGACGCUGAAGCACGAAAGCGUGGGUAUCGAACAGGAUUAGAAACCCCAGUAGUCC
rnacentral:rRNA from 1 species